rnacentral:lncRNA from 1 species
UCCAUUUCAACAUGAGAUUUGGAGGGGACAAAUAUUCAAACCCUAUCGGAUAUGAUUUUUAAAUAUUGACAAGUUUAUCUAUUAGGGAUUGGGUUGACUUUAUGUAAUAGAAAACCUAAAUAACACUGGCUUAAAGAAGAUAAAGGUUUUCCUUCCACCAGAAGUCCAGACAGCAUGAUGGCGUCCCUGUCGUAGGGUGGGACGUUCAGUGAAUUUCAUACUGAAUUCUGGUUGCAACAUGGUUGCUUCACCUCCAGCAACAAGUACAUUUUCUAGGCAGGACAAAGAGGGUAGGGAGAGGCACAGGGGUGUCCACCUGCCGAGUUUGACAUUGCCUUCUUGGGAGCACUGCCCAGUGACACCCACUUAUACCUCCUUGGUCUUAGGACAUCAAAAGGCUACUCCCAGCUGCCAGGGAGCCUGGGAAGUGUAGCUUUUUCUUUUUGUUUGUUUGUUUGUUUGCUUAAGAUAGGUGUAUUGCUACUCUAACAAGAGCAGGUUCCGCGGAAGGGGAGGGUGAGAAUGACUAUCAGGUAGUGAACUACAGUCUCUGCCAUAUCAACUUUAUAAAAGCACAAUGUGAUCAAAACAAAACAUGUCUGGGAGCUGCAUGUGGCCUGUAGUUGCCCUUUCAAACCUCAGAUAGAAAGAAUCUCAUGGGAAGACUGAAGCAGUUUUUAUGUUUUGUGCCAUUACUAAGAAAUUAAAGGUUGGACUAAGAUAUGUGAUCCAAGCCUAAACAUUAUGUCCAUUCAAAUUUUAUUUAACAAUAUCCAGGGAACAAGAUAGGCAGGGUCACUGUUCCUCACAGAGCCAAUCAUCUGGUCAGCGAUCAACGGCUGGAGUGAAAAUGUGCUUAUUGUCAACUCUUGUUAUAAAAGGAGCCAUCAUACUUCCUUUUAUUGAAUAGUCCUCUAAACCCUUGAGGUAGGGCCAGAAAGCUAGCGAGGCUGAGUAACCGGCCCAUGGUCACAUUUAUAUAAAGGGGAAGCUUAAAGAGGAUCUUGAAUCCAAGUGAGUCUGAGGCCUGGCCCAUCCCUAUCUGCACCACCCAGCUUCUGCCUCCCUCAUCCUGCAACUUACUGGAAAGCGGUCCUCUGUCCUUUACAUGGAAUAGAUAUGUGUGUUUCACCCCCAUUCCUGGCUCCAGCCAUCUAGCUGACAGACGUAUACAUACCUGUAGUCACAAAAGCACACAGAGGCAGAUGUACUCUUUCAUUUCCCAGUUCAUUUAACCAGAAUGGCCACUGGGACAAGAUUUAUGUAUUGAAAGUCAGGCAAGGCGAUGGCAGAGAAUCAGCUGUCUGUAGAGUUGUUGAAGGUCCCGUCUUUAAUGGGCUGGGACUCGUGUUCCUGUUUGUUAAAGCAAGUCGGUUGGAUGGGUAGCUUGGCAACGCACCUUAUCUAAUGGUCACGACAUCUGUAGACUUUGACGUUGAUUAGUUGGCAGCCACGAAAUGGAUCAGCCCUGCACUGAGAAGACGGGAGCUGUGGCUAUACGACCUAAGAAGUGUGUUUAUUAUACAUACUAUGCUCCUGUUUGUAAUACAACCCUUUUAAAAAGUCACCAUUGGUCUUGCAAUACUCUUCCUAAUGAGUUGUAUUGUUAUGGCAUUACUUUUUGGUUCAAUUAUCUCUUGAAAGUUUGUAUCCAUAUAUAGAAAAAAUUGUUGCCUUAUUGUAAUCACUAGCUCUGGAGUUUCAAUGAAGUCAGGAAGAUAUGCCAAAAAUGAUCUUUCUGCUUCCCUUUGGCAGGAAGGCAUUGUCUUAGGCAGCGUUACUCCUGGGGUGACUCUGCGUUUCUUGAGUCACGUGAGUCAAAUGGUUGCUGACUUUGGCACGUUUAUUGGCCGGGUUUUUUGUGCAAAGCUUCUGAGAUCUGAUGACCUCCACGGUGUCAGGACUGUCUUGUCACCUGUUUUUCGGGGAUCUGCCUGGCCCCUACCCCACAUUCUUUAUUUUCCUGUUAUUCUCUAUAUACAACCAGAGAUACAGGUUUUCCAUCAAGAGGGGGCCUAUAGAAGUGUUCUUUCCAAUCAAGCUUAUUUACAUAAAAAAGAACAUGACUUGAAAAUAGUAAUAAUGUAGUGGUGGUAAUACACAGAAAUAUGCGAAGAAACCAUGAAGGUAGUGCUUGGAAGACACAGGCAUGCCAAAAACCACAAAGCUGGUGUACAGGUUUCAGUGAAAUGGGGAAAUGCUGUUAUAAAUUUUCAUCUUGGUCUUGUGGCCCGGCCAUGAUUACUUACCUAUUUGCUGACGCAUUAAGCACUACAGUGUGCAUGGAGCAUGGUGUGAGGGUAUGCAAAGGGGCAUCGUGCAUCCGGGAAGCUCAUGGUCUGGCUAGGGGCAUAACAUUUUGACAAGUAAAAUGACAGGGCACAUAUGUAAUAAGUGCCAGGCCUCUCAAACUUGUCCCCUUCUGUGCUGUAUCCCAUUCAUUCUCUGCCAGGUAUCACAGGCUUCUGCAAAAGCAUUCUCCAGACCUCCGUGGCCCUACAGCAUUGAGCUUUCAGUCCUUGGGUUUCUGAAGGUUGGCAGGGUCGAAGGUCCAGGCUGGCUCUUCUCCGUGCAUCUCUUAUCCUUCUUGGACCUGCAGUCUAAACCAGCCAUGUUAGUCUUGUGUAGUGGUGAAGAUACAUGGGACCUCUUAGGGCCUAGGCUGGAAACCUUCACUUAUGCUGAUUCUGUUAGCCUAUUGGCCAACUUCAGGUCAAAGAGAGGGAAAUACACUUGACCCCUUUGGUUGGGGGAGCAGGAAAGUCAUAUGUAGAUACAGGAGAGGUGGAGAAUUGGGGCCAGUCUUGUAAUCCACACAUUAGGCUUAUUUCCCUAUGUAGUCUGUGGGCUCCUGGAGUCAGAAUCACCUUGGAAUCUCCUGCCACCUCUGAUAAGGUGAUGCCUUGACAUUGGAUGCCAACAGACAAGGUCUGUGGGGUGCUUGCAGAUGUGUGGUCUCUGGUGUCAGACUGCCUGGGUUCACUGUGUGGCUUUGGAAGAUCUACCUAACAUCUCUGAUCCACAGUUUUCCCAUCUGCAGAAUGAGGAUUACUUUACUUAUAUUAAUACCCCCUUAGACGAGCAGUUAUGAUGCUGAGAUGAGAUGAAUUCUGUAAAGCGUUUAGCACAGUUCCUGGGACACAGGAAGAUCCUGGUCACCAUGAGCUAGCAUUCGCCUCCUCCUAUCACUGUGGAGAAGUUUUCACCAAAGGCCAUGUCUUGGUGGAUAAGAGCAGGAGGUUCUGAUCUGGUGCAGUUUUGAGGCUCCCAGAUGCCCUUGUCUUCCUUUGGGCCUCAAGAUGCAGGAGGGAGGGCUUUCCUGGUCUGAGCUGCUGGGUGAAAUCAGGCAUCCCUCUAGAACUUCCUCCCUUCACCCUGUACUGCCCUGGAGCUGGUUCAGGAGACUGCUGGCAUGCACCGGGAAGCUCCGCUCAAGGCGUUGCCCCCUGAUUUCCUAGUGGGGGAGCUGGCUUGAGGCAGUCAGAAUACUGAGUUGGGUAAAAGACCCAGGGUCAGAGGCUGAGUCUCAUUCCAGCUGGGACGUGAGGCUGUGGCUGCGCUGAGCUGACCACCAGCCCCUGGGUUCCUUAGGGUUGCCUCUGGGCUCAGGAAGGAAACUGCAUGUAGACACUGAGCUAAGGGAGCACUAGCUGUUUGCUUUGGUUAGUUCUUUCCCCUAAUCCUUGCAAGUAGCUGGUUCUGCUUUGAUGUGAAAUAACAAAAGAUUUAGGGAGAAUUUAUAAUUUAGCUCAUUUUUUUUUAAUGGGAAGGGUGAGUUUUGGAGCACAUUUAAUACCAUGCCAUGUGGGGUAAGCUCAGAGCGUUGCCUGCACUCUCAUUCACCUGGGCUGGCUUUCCCCGCUCGCUUCCCCGUUGGGAGUCUAAUACAGCCUGCCUUUUCCUUAAGAUCAUUACUUCAAACAGUGUUGACAUUUUAAUGUGAUUAUUUUCCUGUAAUAUUUUUCCAGCCCUUUUCUACUUGGGGAGUAUAUUUGCAUCCUUUUUCUUUAGGGAUUUGUGUUGUUCCAGCUCCAUCCUGGUCUGUAGAAUAGAGCUAUGCUCAUAGUAGGUGCAUGGUAAAUAUUGAUUGACUCUUGGGUACGUGAUAGUGACGUCUAGCACCCCUCCUCAUACCUAUUCCCAUGUUCCCAUAAAAAAAUUAAAAUCGAGGGAGAAAAACCCAAAAAAAACAACAAUAAACAAAGAGUUCCAUGAUGGCUUCAGGUUAAAUAGUCUCACCCUGUUGGAAAUUCCUGGAGCAAAUGAGCAAGCCAGUGGGCAGGAGCCCGAGUGUGAGUUCUCAGGAAUAUACAUCACUGAAAGUGAGCCCACACAUUUGUUAAUGAUUGGUCUCUGUGUGGUGUUAAAAAAUUAACUAAUAACAAUUUAUUCCAGAGGAUAUUAGUGUAGAGCAGCUAUUUUCUUAUAGGAAAAGAGGGAUUCCAGUCAUUUUUUUUUUUCUGUUUUGUUGAACUGAUGUUUGCAUCUUGCCUGGUGAAAUCUUUAGCAAGGAGGAGGUGGAAGUUGUUCACUUUAGCACCCAGGGGCUCAGCUAACAUUUCGUGGGGCUGACAUUCUGGGUGCCUGUGCUAGGUGUGGAAGGAGAAUUAAGCGGCUUCUGUCCACAAUUGAGAGUCUGAGUAGAAAAAAGAGGCAUAGCUCACGGCACGUGUCAUUUCUCCCUUCGUCCCUCCUUCCAUCCCUCCCUCUGUCCUUCUUCUUUCUCCUUCCCUUCCAGCAAAUUUAGUGCCUAUGAUAAUGUCAGGGGUGAGGCUGGGCUUGGGGAAUAGCGCAGCAAACCGACCUGUUGCCUCAUCCUCGUGGUAGAUCGUCUGGUGAGUGAUGGGCUUGGAUCACAUCAGCUCAUAGGCGAAUGCCCCAUCCAGCUGUGGGGAGGCUGCCCUGGAGCCCUGCGGGCUUGUGGAGGGGUUGGCAUAUCUGGGGAUCUGAGGGAAGGGUCCAGGGGAGGGCACUUGAGUUAGAGCCAAAAGGUGGCUUCGAAUUAACUAGCCCAGCAGGAAAGGGAAAGGUAUGCUAGGCCGAGAGAUUGGCAGUGCAAAGGCCAGGUGGUGGGGGCAGCUUCGGCUGGAGCCAGAGGCAAGAGAGAAGCAGGAGUAUGGCGGGAUGGGGCUGCAGGGGAGCUGGGAGCCAGACGGUUGGGGCCUCCUGGACUGGGGAGGAGCUUGUCUGCCAUGAGGGAACCAUGGGAUGUCUGAAGAGAGGGAUGUGAGUGUGUGUGUGCGUGAGUGUGUGUGACAGAGACCAAGAGACAGUGUGAUCGGGCACAUUUCCAAGCCGUCACUCUGGCUGGCCACCCCGGGUGGAAAUGGGUCCCAGGAAGGCAGCAGAGUGAGACCAGGGAAGAGGGUGUGGCAGCCACAGAUGGUGGGGCCUGGGCUGGGGUUUGCAGAGCUCAUUCAGAAAAGGGGCUGGGACUACAUUGCCCGGAGGAAGAUCUGUGCAGGAGAGGAGGCUCAAUCUCAGCUUGGAAGGGAAGGGCAGGAGAGGGAAGGGAAGGGUAUGUGCCAUGAGGCACCUACGUGGUGUCUGGGCACCCCAUGGUGCAGCCAAAGGCUCCUCCCAGGAUCCUCAUGCAGGAGCCCUGAAGGCUGUGCAAGAGGUGCUGUCUCACCCUGAGCAGGGCCGAGAGCCUGAGAGGUGCUGUCUCACCCUGAGCAGGGCCGAGAGCCUGAGAGGUGCUGUCUCACCCUGAGCAGGGCUGAGAGCCUGGAACUGUUUAGAGAGAGUCUGGGGCAGUGCAGGAUACUCGGAGAGAUUGCCUGGGGUGCCCUAGGAUGGACUGUGUUUUCUUCUUUAUACAUGAGAAGCUGGAAAAUGGGAGUUGGACGUGGAUUCCGUGGGCAAAGGUUCUUUUCCUGGCACAGUGGAGCAGGGAUGCUGGCAGGGGUGGAUGCUCACUACCUCCUGUGUGCUUUUCCUACUGUGAGCAAAUGUGGAAGGGAGAAUUGCUAUAUGAAGACCCUCCAUGACCCAUAUCCUGUAUAGCCCCCUCCCCUGAGUGUGGCAGGAACCAGUGACUGUGACAGGUUUCGCCUGCAUGCCUAGGCUAUCUUAUAUGCACAGGAGACUUUAAGAAAGUAUAAGCCUUGGUGGCCCUGCCCUAAUCAGGGAAGCCCUAAAGGGGACAAAAUUCUUCCUGGAGAUUGAGACUGGAAGCACAGGAUGGAAGCGGGGGAUGCUGGUUUGAAGAUGGAGGGGACUAUGUGGAAGGGAAUGUGAGUGACCUCUAGGAGCUGAGAGUGGCCCCUGCUGAUGGUCAACAGAGAGAUAGGGAUCUUAGUGCCAUAGCUGCAGGGAUCUGACUCUUGCUAACACCCUGAGUGAGCACGGAAGUAGAGUUUCCCCUUGAGGGAAGAUGAGAAGGCACCCCACUGCUACACUGAUUUCAGCCUUUCGGACCCCGAGCAGAUGAGAAGGCACCUGGGCUGACACACCGAUUUCAGCCUUUGAGACCCCAAGCAGAGGACCCAGUCCUGCCAUGUCCUGACUUCUGACUUACGGAACUAGGAGCUAAUAAGUGGGUGUUAUUUGAAGCCAGUAAGCUUAUGGUUUUGUGUUAUGCAGCAAUAGAAAACUAAUACGGGGAGGGAAGUUUAUUGCUUCCAUAUUACAGGGGAAAGCCUCAGGUUCAGAGAGGUGAAGGGAUCGUCCUGGUCACCUGGCUACCCUGGCGGAGCUGAGAAGCAAAGCUGUGUGGCCAGACUCUGAUGCUCCUGCUGUGUGCUGCCUCGGUUUCCUGAUCUGCGAAAUGGGCUGGUCAUGGCAUUGUCCUGAGGCCGCAGGAGGAGUGGCCUGGAGGCUGUGCCAGCUGUGAAAGUGUCAGGGCCCUUGUGACUGUUUUCACCCUCCCUGUUGGCACACAGGACCUGGAGGGGUGCCCCUCCGAGGCCCUCCCUGGCUUCUCACACUCACCCUAAACCCGGUGUGUUUCCAUGGUUACUGGUGGCUUUACUAGUGUGACUCUCAAGCUGGCCCCAUAGCCACUCCUUUUUAUGUGUAUUUCUAAUUUCCUUUAGAGCAUUUUUAAACUUUUCGCUUUGAAAUAUUUUAGACAUCUAAAAAUGUCACAAAAUAGUAAAAAAAUAACUCCUGCGUACCUUUCACCUAUAUUCCCCAAAUAACAUCCCACUUAACUACAGUAAGUCAUCAAAAAGAAGAAAUUAGCUUUGGUACAAUACAAUUAACUCAUCUACCAACCUUAUCUGAAUUGAGUCCAUUUUUCUGCUAACAUGCUUUUCUAUCCUGUGAUCCACCCAGGAUCCCACGUGGCACGCGGCCAGCAUGUCUCCUUAGCGUCCGCCAAUGUGGAACAGUUCCUUAGUGUCUUCAUAGCCUGAUGCCUUUGAAGAGUGCUUUCAGUUAUUUUGUAGACUGUCCCUAAAUGAGGGGUUGUCUGAUGUUUCCUUCUUUUUAAAUCGAGUAUAUGCGUUUUUGGCACAAAUCCCCCAUAAGCGAUGUCGCUGGAGAUCCCUAGGUCAGUUGGACCAAUCCUGGUGAUGUUGACUGUGGUUGCUCAGCCAGGUGCCUCUGCUCUAAAGUUAACACUUUCUUCCUCUUUGUAAUUCGUCAGCGUUUUGUGGGAAACCUUGAGACUGUCAGACAUCGUUUCUCAUCACACCCUUUCCCACCCUGGGAAUCCUCGCCUGCCAGUUGUCACCAUGGUGCGUGUUCAGGGGUGGCUGUCUUUCCGUCAUUUCUCUUAAAUGUAUUAGUGAGUUCCAUUACUCACUAAUAAGGGAAAGCUUCCCCCACGCUCCCAUGUAUUUAUUCACCUGUUUACUUACACUAGUGUGGACGCCUGCAUGUAUGUUUAUCCUGUGGAGUAGAGUCCACUGCUGUCAUCUUCUUGUUGCUGGAACUGUCCCAGACGUGGCCACUGGGAGCUCCUUCGAGUCGGUGUCUGUGCCAGUGGAGUGCUCCCAUCAUUGUCUGAGCUCUUUCUUGCUUUCUGGCAGCAUAAGACGCUCCAGGCCCCCAGGGCCUCGCCUCUGCUGAGGUGCUUGCUGUGCAGGAUUUGGGAAGGUGCUCUCAGGGGCUGUGGGCUCCCAUGCCUGCUUCCGCCUCAUCCUUGCAGACCCCUGUGCAGGUAGGUUAUUUGUAGGUGAGCACCCCAGUGCACAUAGACUGAUGUAGCCGGGUUCCCCAGGGAGCAGGUGGCAGAGUUGGGGCUUGCCCAGACUCCUGCUCUUGCCCUGUGGAAGGACCUAUGAGUCGGACCCCACACAGGGAUUAGGUGGGGCCAUGCUGGGCAGCCCAUGUCAGCCUGGCACAUCUUGGGGACUGUCCACAGUGUCAGGGCUGGGAGCAUGGUCUUGGCACAUGUAACAUGCCCCGUUUCUCUCUUUCUUCUGGGGUUCAGGCAUAUUUCUGGUCCAUGAUAAGAUCUUUGCCUCCUUCCUGUCUUUCUUGCCCUCGUGGAUGGCCCAGAAUCCUUUGUAGAUUUCCCACAGUGGCCUUUCCCAGGCAGGCACUGGCUGGCAGUGGCAGUCUAGACUUCCUGCCUGCCUCAGUGGCCUUCCCUGAAGGAGCUGUACAAAAGUGACAGGGAGCACAGGCCACUGGCCCCUGGGGAGGUGUGGGGCAUGGUGAGCCACGUCCACCACAUACUGUGUGCCAAGCUGGAAAAGAGUUUGGGGGUGCAGAGGACAAAGGAAGGGAGGUCACCUCUACAGAAUCACAUGGCACUUAAUUUGUCUUUCCUCUUCCCUACCCACUCCCCUCCUUUCUUCCCAGAGACAAGAGGCAGCUCCUGGGAGAAGGCACAGCCUCUGAGACUCACAAGCAGAUCUUUUAAGGUCAACUUUGCCAUCUGUCUUUUAGGCAAUAACCUUCACUACAGCUUUUUCUGCUUAUUUUUGUCGAAAGUCAUUGGGAGAAUGAGUCAUUGCGUGUGUAUGCCUGUGUGUUUGUGCAUAUAUAUAUGUGUGUGUAUGUGCAUGUACAAGUAUGUGUUUGUGUGUGCAGGUGUGCACGUGUGGGUACUUCCCCUGAUUUUUUUUUUUUUGUGACAUAACUUCCCCUCAUUUUUUUGAAAGGCUGAAAGGGACUCAGGGUCAAGGCCAUGGUGCAUCCCUCCUGCAGGGAGCUGGAGCUGGGUGCCUGGAAGCUGGCCUUUGGGUCAGGCUUCAGCCUCAGCCGUACUGACUGUGCCUGGCCAACCUCUGUCAGUCCCUUCAUCAGGCCAUGCUUUAAGGUCCUCCUCUAUAAACUGGGGGCAAUGCUAGUUCCUACUCCUGGGGUGGGUAUGAGUUCCAGAUGAGGCACGUGACCUUUGCAGGAUUUUAACAUUACAGUGACAUAACUGUAAUUUACCUACUGGUAAAUGCUCUGUUCAUGUCAGUUAGUAGAAUAGAAAGUGCUGGCCCUGCUGACACAGCAGCCAUCUCCUGGUUUGCGAUGGACACUAUCUCAGGAGGAGGCUGCCGUGUGCCUGCUGCGAGGGGUGCUCCCUGUUUGCUAGGGAGGCCCAGAGACUGCCCCGGCACCUCGCUGCACACAGAGAGGCCGUGUGUGUCUCUUGACCCUUCAGCUCCACACUGGGAAUGAGGGAGACCAGGGGUUAGAGAUGCCUCGGGACCUGAGCCGGGCACCAGCUCCCAUCUGUCCAUCUGUCCUGGGCUGCUGGGGGAGCCGGCUCUGGCCAGGACUGAUGAUUCCUGGCACCCACCAGGAGAUGCACAUCCUGCUUGAAAGCUGUGAACUGCUAUCCAGAGUGUCUGGGCUUAUCCUGUUGGAGCAAAACCCCUGGGCUAAUAUGUAAUCCCAUUGUGAAAUGUAUUUCAAGGAGGGCUUCUACAAGGAUUCUAAUUUUACAGCAGCUUUAACCAAAAAAAAAAAAAAAAAAAA